ensembl:snoRNA
AAGACUAUACUUUUGGGGAUCAUUUCUAUAGUUUUUGUACAUGAGAAAUGCCUUCUAUAGAGUCGGGUCUCGCGAACCACGAGGACAAUCCAUAGUGUUCUCUUCUGAGCAGGAAGUUGGCAUUGAGUGCUGCUUCUGAGCAGCUGCUCUCUGUCGUUGAUGACUGUUCCUCUCUCUAUUGUGUAGAGUUGGAGGAAGAGGACACAUUCUGAGUGGUU